UACGUAUCCUAAGUCACGCUUUUAAGACACGGAAAACGCAGUUUGAAUUUUGUCAAUCGGCCCAGUAGAACAGGAGAUAUAGAACUGUCAUUUUUUUCCGCAUGUACAUUGGAAAACGCACAGCGCAAGUAGCUGUUUGAUAACUAUUUACCAAGUGGUUUAUUUAUUCACAAAUUUAAGGGAAUAUAAUUUAGAAUAUCGCAAAGGAGCUUGAAUUCGCAUGGGCUCUUCCCGAAGACGUACUUUUCAAGUGUCUUUCUUAUCAGCUAUCAUAGUAAGUUAAGAGCUUACUAAGGUCGUAACGAGGGACAAGAAAUCAGGUGUGUUUCCAGACACGGAGCCUAAGAAAUGGCUACUACAUCCAAGGAAGGCAGGAGUCGAGCAAAUUACCCACUCCUUGAAGAGAGAAGCUCCUUGAACGGAGGACUGACUCAAUGAAGGACGAAAUGAAACAAAAGACUUUUUUGAAACCUCGUAAAUGGAAUGAGUACACUUUAAAUCCUCGAGGAUCAGAUGAAGGGCCUAGUUUGGUCCAGCUGCUGAGGUAAUUAUAGCUCCAGUAGCGUAUAUUUAAAUUAUUGCCGUAGAAAGCUCGAAGCUGGAUUGCAGCUCUACAUGGCUGGGACCGCCUUUUCUGAACAGCCAUCCUGUUUCCUCUGAUGAACUUUACCAGUUGGGCCCGCCUAAAAUGUACACCGGUUAGUGACUCUGUUUACGGUAGCAAUGGGGAGGGUUCGAAUCGCAGAGAAGGCAUGAUUGUAACAGGAGGCAGCGAUGGCUACGUAUUAAGUGCUUGAGUAAUGAAAUGGGAACAACUUCCACCCUAGUGGCUAUUAAAUAAAGAACCCGACCAUUACGAGAAAAAAAUAACCGGUUGUUUUGGAAGAUCGGCACGUUUACUUUGAAAAACAUGAGAAUACUCAAAGCAGGCAUUAGGCCUGAAUAAUGGUACAUGGAACACAGAUCUUCACACUGAAAGCUAUGUACUUUUUUUAUUUCAUAUCUACUACAAGACGUAGGCCUAUAGAAAAGUCUCGGACGAGAUAUCAAUA
rnacentral:ncRNA from 1 species